AUUGAACGCUGGCGGCAGGCCUAACACAUGCAAGUCGAGUGGAUGAAGAGAGCUUGCUCUCUGAUUCAGCGGCGGACGGGUGAGUAAUGCCUAGGAAUCUGCCUGGUAGUGGGGGACAACGUUUCGAAAGGAACGCUAAUACCGCAUACGUCCUACGGGAGAAAGCAGGGGACCUUCGGGCCUUGCGCUAUCAGAUGAGCCUAGGUCGGAUUAGCUAGUUGGUGGGGUAAUGGCCCACCAAGGCGACGAUCCGUAACUGGUCUGAGAGGAUGAUCAGUCACACUGGAACUGAGACACGGUCCAGACUCCUACGGGAGGCAGCAGUGGGGAAUAUUGGACAAUGGGCGAAAGCCUGAUCCAGCCAUGCCGCGUGUGUGAAGAAGGUCUUCGGAUUGUAAAGCACUUUAAGUUGGGAGGAAGGGCAUUAACCUAAUACGUUAGUGUUUUGACGUUACCAACAGAAUAAGCACCGGCUAACUUCGUGCCAGCCGCCGCCGUAA
rnacentral:rRNA from 1 species